AUACGUAGGGGGCGAGCGUUGUCCGGAAUGAUUGGGCGUAAAGAACGCGUAGGCGGCGCGGUAAGUCUGGAGUGAAAGUCCUGCUUUCAAGGUGGGAAUUGCUUUGGAUACUGCCGCGCUUGAGUGCAGGAGAGGUUAUCGGAAUUCCCGGUGUAGCGGUGAAAUGCGUAGAGAUCGGGAGGAACACCAGUGGCGAAGGCGGGUAACUGGACUGCAACUGACGCUGAGGCGCGAAAGUGUGGGGAGCAAACAGGAUUAGAUACCCUGGUAGUCCACACUGUAAACGAUGAAUGCUAGGUGUAAGAGGUAUCGACCCCUUUUGUGCCGGAGUCAACACAAUAAGCAUUCCGCCUGGGGAGUACGGCCGCAAGGUUGAAACUCAAAGGAAUUGACGGGG
rnacentral:rRNA from 1 species